CAGUCGUACCGACGGAGAAUCAACCUUUGGAGUGCGAGUCGAGGUAUUCGAGGAGUUUAAAAGCCCUUGUGUGCUUCCGUAUCGUGCUUCUUGGGUGCUUUUCUUCGUAUGGUAGGUUAACAUCAAUUUUGGACGUUACAAAAUGACUGGGGGAAUGUAGCUUCGAUUUUUCGAAGUGUUAUAGCCCUUUGUAGAUGUGACGACCGGGAUUGAGGAUUGCAACGAAUGCUUUCGGGCUAUCCGUCUGACCUCUGGUGGUUGCUUUGGGGUCGAAAGCGUGCUUAUGGUAUUAAAGUUGGCUAUCAAAAGGCUAGAACGUGAUUAAAUUCGUUAAGGAUGUUGACGUA
rnacentral:rRNA from 1 species